GCCCAGGUGGCGGAAUUGGUAGACGCACUACCUUGAGGUGGUAGCGCCGCAAGGCGUGGGGGUUCGAGUCCCCCCUUGGGCACCA
rnacentral:tRNA from 3 species